rnacentral:lncRNA from 1 species
AACGAUUGAUAAUCAUCACAGAGUCGAGAUGUAUGUGAACACCAGUCAUUAUACCAAUGAAUAGAUAAAAAAAAACAUCCCGUCACAACCCUAUAAAAUUACACACAAUCCAAUUUUUUAUGAGAAAUAGGGUACAAGAACAGCUGGGUGUAGACUAUAGUAACGAGCAAACCAAUCAGAAUUAAGAAACCCAACCCUCCCCAAAAAAGGAAGAGACCGCCCUCGGUUUCCAAUACCAAAACGUGUCACUCAUCUAUACGUCACCUCCUCCCAUCAUUUGUGCGCUCUUACAAACCACGAAUCCCGGGCCUACUCUGAGACUCCGAGGAUGCCAGGUUCCCCACGCUCUGACGUCCACUUGCGUGCACCCGCUCUCUCCUGCUUACACGUGCCCUUCCAGUCCCUCUCUCGUAACCUUAACUAUUCCCCCGAUCCUGUCACGCUGGUCAACAGGCCUGAGUUUGAUUCACCCGACAAAGUGUAGGCCUCAAAAGGCGAGUAGUAUGGUUUUAAUGUACUCGAGCAAGUGGGCUAUGUGGUCCUGAGUUUUAAACCACCAAGUGGUUUCGGGUGCAGCCUGGUCCAUGGUUUCCUCAAAUAAAAGGGUUU